UACGUAGGGACCAAGCGUUGUUCGGAUUUACUGGGCGUAAAGGGCGCGUAGGCGGCGCGGUAAGUCACUGUGAAAAUCUCUGGGCUUAACUCAGAACGGCCAAGUGAUACUGCAGUGCUAGAGUGUGGAAGGGGCAAUCGGAAUUCUUGGUGUAGCGGUGAAAUGCGUAGAUAUCAGGAGGAACACCGAUGGCGAAGGCAGGUCUCUGGGCAUUAACUGACGCUGAGGAGCGAAAGCAUGGGGAGCGAACAGG
rnacentral:rRNA from 1 species